rnacentral:tRNA from 1 species
GCCUCGAUGGUGUAGUGGUUAGCAUUACGGCCUGUCACGUCGUCGACUCGGGUUCGAAUCCCGAUCGGGGCGC